UUCACAUGAACAUUGCAGACUUCUAAUCUGCUUGCAUGAAUUGGAUAGUAGACUAGGCUCCAUUUCUUUAUUGAAUUUUCCAGUAUAACUUUUAUUUGGCAGAGACUCUAGAGUAUGUUGUUUAGUUCAAACACAGUUUGCAGAAGAUGAACAUGGCUCGUAAUGUCCAUUUACUGCGUAAAAUAUUUUCUUUUGUAAACUUUUAACUUUAAUGGUUCCAGCAAGUAACGUAUGUGGUCAAUGCUAUUUUUAUCCCUCAUCAGUGUGCCAGUUUUCUUAAGAGAUGAUAUUUGAUUUAUGGGGUUAAUUAAUUGAUUUAUUGUUAUUUACUUAGCAGCCUGCUGUAGAAACCAUUGGCUUUAGAAUGGGUGAGCUCAGGGGUCUUUCAAGAUGGCGUUCUUGUUAUCUAGGUAUUGGUUCGGAUGAGACACUGGCGGAUAAUGCAGUGGAAAAGGUUGGAAUGUUGCUUGUAUAGGUUGAGUGAUUCAUAAGGGUGCUCUCAUCUGUUGCAAAGCCGUUUGCAAAUUUCUUCAGCUGGCUUCUGAAAUGUAUAAAGCGAUCGAUGUCAGAGCCAAUUGAUCAAUUUUUAACAUACAAUAGUGUUCUUGAAGUUUCUACAUGAUCAAGAUGCUGCUAUGCAUCUUCUGGAUCUUUCUGAGGCUGAUGAAGAAACUACCAUUGAUCCACAAACAAUGCAGAGAAUUGGAGAAUUACUGUAGUGUGGAGGAUUUUGGGGACACGGAAUAUUUGCAAAGGACACUUGUGAAAGAAUUUCAAUAGAUGGAACGCAGUCAUUAGCAAAAGAAUUAAAAAGCUGAAAUGUAAUGGAAUCCUGUUCGUGGAUAGGAGUUUUUUGCUUGAAUGUAUUGUAUAUUGCUCUUUCAUUGUAAAUUCUUCUCAUUAAUCCUUUAUCUACUUUUUCCAUUUAUAAUUGUUCUUACACAUGCUACCUCAAUGGGAAAAAUAUGAACUAUGAGAUAAAUCAUUGCCGUCAUCGGUUGUUUGAAGUGAUCGCUUUUCCCCCCUUCGAGUCUGGUCCUUGUUGCUGAUAUGUGCACCGAAUGUGAAAUUGUGGGUCAACAAGAGUUUGAAUAUGAUACCUGGGCUCAAUAUUUUUUAUGUAAACAUUGCAAUCCUUUAAUUAAAAGUUUGUACUUUUGGUUUUACCCAACUCAUCAAUUAUUUGAGCUCAAAUAUUCAUCUUUCGGUUGGCUAAUUCAGGACUUAUGUUAAUAGGUUUGUGGAUAUUUCUAUCCAAAUGCUUAUUAGCAUAAAGUAGUCCUAUAUUUUUCAUUUCCUUGUCUGAGUGGCCAGAACCUUGAGACUAUAAUGAGAGAAGGAGAGAAAGAAAAGGAAACCUCUCGGGGUUAGGGGUUGUCUUCUGGAGGUGGUCCUCAACAAUGGUUUUUUACUUACCCUUUGUCUAAUAGUCUAGUUUUUCAUAUUUGAUCUCAGGUUUGAUUACUUGACAGUGUAUAUGGAAGCUUUAGUUGGGUGAUCUUAUGGGAUUGGGCUAUGUGUUUAGGUUAUGAUCCUUGUGUAUGGAAAUACUGUAUCUCAUGUUUCCUGAUUAGAAACUAAUUAGAUAAUCACAUUUUCAAGGAAGCUACCCAGAUGCCUUUCUCUUCUAUUUCGAAAAAGAUACUUUGUGAGAAUUUAUUGCUACAAUUCCCUCUUACAU